UAAAAAAUCUAUACGGUUUGAGCUUUUGUAAAACUGGGCCGCUUUUUCCAAUUUUACAGAUUCGGAUCGGAUUUUCAACAAACUGAUCAAAAUAUAUACCCUUAUUCCUUUCUCUCUCUUCUUUUCUUUUUCUUCGUUCUUUUUUUCUCUCCAACCCUUAUCACCUCCUCCACUGCCUCCGCGGCCCUCGGAGACGGUAACGAGGGCGGCGGCGCAUCCUCUUCCUCCAUCUUCUCCUUCGC
rnacentral:lncRNA from 1 species